GUAAAAUGUAACAGUAAACUGGUGACCUGGUGACCUGUCCAGGGUCAAGGGUCCAUCCACCAGGAUCUAACCUCCAGCACCCAAAACCAUUCAUCUGGAUUAACAGAUGAAUGACUCAAGGAUAUUUUAUCCUUGAGUCACCAGAGAGAGAAAGAGAGACUCAUGAAUGUGCCUGACUGUGAAACCCUUUUAUUUAGGUUAGAGCACACAUCAGCAGAGACAGCUUACUAAAACUAUAUUUCUGAUCUGGAUGUGUCAAUCGUAUCAUUAACAGGCAGGUAAUCCAUCUGAUGUGGAGAUUGUUGGAUCAGUGCAGCACCUGCUCCAGGCUGCUUCCCAUGAAUGAAAUUGCUCUGUAGAUCUAUAGGAAGAGGCAGUCCUUCAGACUGAAGCAAGGACAGGAAGCUCCUCAGCCAGGAGAAUAGCUGCCUAGCACUGCAUGAAAGCCUGAGGUACUUUAUGGCUGUCUGAGCUGGUGCUGUCUGCUCUUCCAUCAUACUAUUUUUUGUUGUUUUGGGGUUGUUGUUUUUUUUUUUUUUUUUAAGAAACUGGGAUUUGGAAGUAGAUGAAGAUGGGGGUUGUUGCUUGCAGUAAGUCAGACAGGGUAAUUUAAGCCAGAUUUAGGUGAGCUGUCUCCAAGGUCAUGAUGAAUAGAGGUGCCAGGGGAUGUACAGGUCAGCAGUACAGCCUGAGAAAGGAAGUCUUUAUGACAAAUUCACCAUGGAUUGUUGAGUCUAAAAGCUUUCCCAGCCCCGAGUUUAUUGCUUUUACCGUUUUGUGCAGUAUAAUGAAGACUGCACACCGCUAUGACUAGCUGUUUGAGAUAUAAAGUAACCACGUGGGACGGUGGUUAAGCGUUUGUUUUACCACUUUAAACAGCUAAAAUAAACACCAGCAUUCAUUAGAGCACAGCCACCACUUCCAGCUAUGUCACUCAAGAGAUCCGCAGUCAAAUCUCUCAGGUUACUUUGCUACUGUUGAGUGUCAUGUUUUACAACCACCGGGUCUUAUUAUGGAUUCUGUGGCUUCCAUUUAAUGGGCCUCACUGUAGAAUGCGCCAUAAGGCCUUAUGCGCUUUCACGUACAGCCAUAGUGACACGUUGUGUAAUGGAG
ensembl:lncRNA